CGCCGCCAACCAAAGCUGGAAGGAUUUAAAUUCAAAGUGAGUAAGGGAUCUAUCCAAAAACCGAUUAAAACCUCCCUGUCCUAUCUAAAAGAACCAACCACCCGAAACAACGCCAUACUUUAUCAAACUCACAAACAAUCCUCCUCAAACACGUACUGCGUAUCAAUUACCAAGCUCCUCGAAACAUCCAAUUCCCCGUUUAUCAUUCCAAACACAAUUUCACCCUUCAACGAACUACAUACAGUCGAAAGUUAGGGACAGUGUAGCAAAGAGGACUCUAAUACUUUCAGAUAGCGCGUGGACACACGCAGAAAGCACAUACAGAACUAUUCACAUCUACCCAGUGACCAGAACCACUACAACCACGUACUACCUCCGCGUACCUACUUCUGCAUAUUACAUACAAGCAAACACGGAACGGCCACGCAUCGUUCACAUCGAGCAGAAACGCGUGUCCAUAAAGCGGCUCCCACGUAAACGUUUUUCUACGUCUGUACGCGUGGGUGUGCACGGAUGAACGGUGGAGGAGAACAGCGGCGGGAGGAAUGAGGCGAAACGGUGGUGGUUGAAUACAGAGACGAAGGGGACUGGUAGGCCGGUUCACGAGAAACCUGGGUAGGGGUAGUUCGGUUUAGUUUGGGGAGGCUCUCUCCGCGUUUGGGUUCGAGUCCCUCCAGCUGCACCACCACCGUAUCAACCGGCACACCACCGUUCCUACCAUCGCCACAAUCCUACUCCCGCAGGGGCGGAACUCGAUAGACCUAAGGGGAUGGGGGCUGCCUCCGCUCGUGGAUCAAUACCAUGGCGGGUUGCAGGGCAUACAGGGGGUUGCUACGUGGUGUGGCACGCGCAUACGCUGCUAUCCCCCCGGAGGAAGAAGGACACCGAUCAACCCCGUUGCCACGUUCUAUAGAAAGAGACGAGAAGAUAUGACUGAAGAGUAGAGAAGAGGAUGGAAGAUACGAACCAGAGUGGAACUGUUGAUUCGCGUUUGAAAUACUGUUCGGUUUUAAAGCGAUUUCGCUAGUUUAUUAAGGAUCGAACAAACCCACCGAGGGAUGAUAUCCUCGCGUGUCGAAGCAACUUCGAAAAUCGCCAGUGCCUGGCACUGCCAUAAUGCUAUCGAGAGCAGAUUAGAAGGGCUUUGCUCCGAUCGUGCUGACGUAUGCUCGUUUUCGUGACACUUUGUCUGUGCUGGAUUUCUUCCAUUUUUUUAGAAGAAGGAUCUUGGUUCUCGAAUGCAUUGUAUUCCUCGUUUGGAAAUAUAUCUAUCUUUAUUUGCAGAAAUCUGAGGCACGCUUUCACGACGCUUUGGCUAUGGCGAGGGAUUGCACGCCAUUGUAUUUAUUAUAGAAUUUAUAUACUAAUUAAUUAGAAUCAGAAUCGAUUUUGAGAUUAGUGACUAUUUCCAGAACGAGCUGCAGUACAAUUACGUAUUACGUAUUACGUACAAUUACGACUCGAUAAGCAUCAGGCGAAUAGUUGUUAUUACGAUUUGUUUAAUGUACUUCGGAGUUGAAAUGAAGUUAAGCUAGACUAUACACAGGUUUGUUAUUACGUCUGCAUCGCUAUGCCUAUUGUCCUCGGGACAUUGUACUACGUAGAGUUGCACUUGUAACAAGUUCAUUCACGCUAGAUUUAAAUCUAAUAACGGGGAGAUACUACACUAUAUUCUAUGUAUAUAAUAUGUUAUUCCUUGCUAACCAACGAAUUGCGUCUGCGAAAUUUUAUUCCGAACUUUGUCUGGAGAGGUGCUAAUAAGAAAAUAAAAUUUAAAGUUUAUAACCUUAACAUUAUUAUACUAUUCCUUAUCAAGCAACGAAUGUCGUGUAAGAGACUUCGUUAUAAACUCUGUUUGAAGAAUGGAUAAUAGAAAAAUAGAAUUUUUAAGUUUAUGACCUUUCAAGUUUGUAUAAAAAUUCUAUAAAGGGCAAUAUAGUGAGCAGAGGAAAACUGAGGUAAAAGGAGGAACACUGUGUCUCUGUUAAAGGGAAAACGUGUAUAUUGAUACUGACGGGGUGUGCUGCACUUCUAUACACUGCACGGCUAAAGGGCACAUGUCUCAUUACACACGAACGUUCUUUUGAAUAUAUAGCCUAACAAGGAUACACCUCGCUGUUUUAGAAAUCAAUGUCGAUAGAAAUUGCUUACCAACUAUCAUAUAUUAUUAUCAUUAGAAGCAAACUAAGCAUUAUUGACUAAGUAACAGACCAUCUUUUAAUCAAUCGAUAA